rnacentral:rRNA from 1 species
AGCAGCCGCGGUAAUUCCAGCUCCAAUAGCGUAUAUUAAAGUUGUUGCAGUUAAAAAGCUCGUAGUUGAAUUUCGGGGUUCUUCCGUUGGUCGGGCUAUCCAGUCUGUACUAGCGUGUAGAAUUCCUACCUUCUGGAGAACCAUCAUGUUAUUAAUUUAGCGUGGUGGGAAACCAGGACCUUUACCUUGAAAAAAUUAGAGUGUUCAAAGCAGGCUUACGUCUGAAUACAUUAGCAUGGAAUAAUAGAAUAGGACGGUGGUCCUGUUUUGUUGGUUUCUGAAUCACCGUAAUGAUUAAUAGGGAUAGUUGGGGGCAUUAGUAUUCAAUUGUCAGAGGUGAAAUUCUUGGAUUUAUUGAAGACUAACUUCUGCGAAAGCAUUUGCCAAGGAUGUUUUCAUUAAUCAAGAACGAAAGUUAGGGGAUCGAAGACGAUCAGAUACCGUCGUAGUCUUAACCAUAAACUAUGCCGACUAGGGAUCGGACGAUGUUAGAUUUUAUUGACUCGUUCGGCGCCUUACG